ensembl:lncRNA
CCUCAAAAAGCAUCUCUGUGCUGCAGAGCCAGAUUGCUGCUGUUCCCAUGAGCCUGCACUGACCCUGCACUUUGGUGCUGUUAUUUUUUUUCCUGUUGUUGCUUGUAAUGCUCUUAUCAGCUGGGGCCAGCUGAAGUCAAGAGGGCUGGGGAUGACAGAGGGUUUGCAGUUCUGCCUUCUGAGUCACCAGGAGUUUCAUGACAGUGGCCAUGAGGAGCAAGAGUUGCUUGCCAGCUCCUUCUCUUUGAAGGCUGGCCAUUAUGUUCCAGUGUCACAGCUUGAGGCAGUGUGUGGAUGUGACUUCCUGCCUGACUCUGGAUGAGCUGGGAUGUGCAGUACGUACAAGGUGCUUAUCUUCAGAUGCCUUAAAGUAAUAUGUAUCUUGUUCUUGUUCUUACUGUGCUGGCUGGAUUAACCAAACCCCUCCGGGAAGUUCUGCCUUCAUUCCCUGCAGUAAAAACUCGACUGAGCAAUACUGGACACGUCCAUCAGAGCUCACCAGCAGAAAAUGUGGAGCAAGUUCUGGGAGGAGAGGAAGGAGCUUCUUCUGUCAUGGUGCUCGGGGAUGGCCUGUCCUCCUGCCCUCCCUGGACAGCUGUAAACCAGGGAUUCCUGCUGCCAGAAUGGGCUGGAGAUGGCCUCUCCUUAGUGGAGAGACUGGACAAGGAAACAGGUGGGAAGGACGUCGACACCUGAAAUUCAGCAAGACUGUAAGGGCUCUUCCUCCUCCAGCCGAAGCCCGGCAAUUCAGAAGUCCGUGGUCGGAAGGACUCCUCAGCUAUUCUCUUUGAUCCGGCAGCCAGGAGAGGGAGCUCGGCAUCCUACUCCCAGGCUCCACUCGCCCAACAUCACUGAAGACAAUGUUGAUGAUUCUUUUGUUCAACAAAUAAAAGAAGUGGUUCCCACGAGGGAGCCGUGUUGGCAGCUGCUUUAUGCGGGCUUAGGGGAAUUGCGGAUAAUCGAUGCUUGCCAAAGGCAAAAUGGACAGCACCAGUGGAAGAAAACAAAACUAACUCUCAGGCUGCUAAGAGAUUAUUGCAUGCAGAGGGACCCGUUUUGGAAGUCUGGAGUGUCUUCGGUCCGCACAGCCACCAAUGGGAGCAUCAAGCACUCAGGACCAGUGGAAGGGCAUGAGGCUCAACUUGGCAUCUUGGACUUCCAUCACCAAAAGCCUGAGGAAAGUCCUCUUGGUAAAACCCUGGGUUCUCUCCAGGAGCAGUGGGCACUCACAGUCCUACUUGAGCUCAGCGAGGGCAACUGGAUAUUCAGUGAUUUUUUUUUUAUAUUUCAGUGUUGAAGCAUGAGGACAGUCACCUAGCUUUUGGUGUCAGGAAGUUGAACGUUCAAAGCAUCAGAAUGGAAACAGAUUCCCAAAUGUACUGAAUGUUGGUGGAAAGAAAGCACUUUAUAAACGGAUAAUUAUUCAGUGCCAGUCUGCCAGGACUUCAGUAGGAUUUCGAGUGAGACAUUUCUAUAGAUAAAAAUAAUGUUCAAGAAGAGUCCCAUACUCUUAGCACAAACCUUUCUGAGUUUAGUGAUGCCAUUUUAAUUGGUUCUGGCUAUUAAUAGUGCUGUGAUUCCUGGGUUUGUUGGAAAUGUGAUCCCCACAUCCAGAGAUGCUGGCUCACCAGCAGUCAUUGGUCCUGGGGGUAUCCUUUCCUGAUGUAGUCUUGGUUCUGUUUCUCCUGUAAAUGUCUGUAUUUGUAUACACUGAUCCCUGGUGAUGGAUUUCUUCAUGGACUGUGUUCCAUCAGCCAUUCCCAGAGCUGCUGUAACAGCACAAAUACACAUUCCAGACACAUUUUCAUCCAAAUCUAGUGUGGGUGAGGACAGAGCCUGGGACAGCCAGCCUAAUCCUGACAGAUAAUUUUUCCCUGGGGCUAGGGUGAAGAAAAGUUAUUCUGAGAGUGCCAGAUGGGCUAUGGAAACAUCCUAACAAUACCUGUAAUUAACAUAUCCAGUGCUCCUUCACCUAAGAGCUUUCAGGAUGACUCACACACUCACCCUACAGAUCCCUGCAGGGUCAGGUGCUGCCUAAGCUGAAUGAGAAAAAGGAUGCAGGCACCCUCAUUGGAGACAGCUCAGAGCAGAGCUGCAGUGACUAGGGAUGUUAGCUCUGUUUUUAGCUGAGCCAAUCUCCUUUCUCUCCAUGAAAGCUCAGUGCAGGGAGAGAACGUUAUCCAUUAACCUUCCAGUAUGCAGAACCUAGUGUUGUCACCCGGCUCCUGGUGAGUGGUGUCAGACAUGGCUGGCGUUCCUCCAUCGAUAUCUUCAAUUACAGUGGCACUUCAGCCAUUCCUAAGAGCAUUUGCCAUUUACACAGUGGAUUUCUCUACCUGUGUGGAUCUCACUGGCACGAAAAAUGAGCAUGUUUUCUGAGCAUACCCUCAUCUUGGAGAAGAAGCAAUGCCAGAAAGACCAAGAAGCCAGAAUUCUGCAUCUUGCAGGCAAUUCAGAUGAUUUGCACAGUCCUCAUCAUUAAGUUCAUACAGCAAAGCCAUCAGACUGUGUGUUCCUUCCUUCAGGCGGUUCUUCUGCUGAUGAGCUGUUCUCAUCCUUACAGAUUGCUCAGUGCUGUGAGAUACCAGGUUGGAUAUCAGGAAAAGGUUCUGCACCAGAGUAUGGUGGACAUGGAACAGGCUCCCCAGGGCAAUGGUUACUGAACCAACCUGCUGGAGUUCAAG